GUCUCCGUGGCGCAACUGGUUAGCGCGUCCGACUGUUAAUCGGGAGGUUGACAGUUCAAUCCUGUCCGGGGACG
rnacentral:tRNA from 1 species